CCUACGGGAGGCAGCAGUGAGGAAUAUUGGUCAAUGGACGAGAGUCUGAACCAGCCAAGUAGCGUGAAGGAUGACUGCCCUAUGGGUUGUAAACUUCUUUUAUAUGGGAAUAAAAUGUUCCACGUGUGGGAUUUUGUAUGUACCAUAUGAAUAAGGAUCGGCUAACUCCGUGCCAGCAGCCGCGGUAAUACGGAGGAUCCGAGCGUUAUCCGGAUUUAUUGGGUUUAAAGGGAGCGUAGGUGGAUUGUUAAGUCAGUUGUGAAAGUUUGCGGCUCAACCGUAAAAUUGCAGUUGAAACUGGCAGUCUGGAGUACAGUAGAGGUGGGCGGAAUUCGUGGUGUAGCGGUGAAAUGCUUAGAUAGCACGAAGAACUCCGAUUGCGAAGGCAGCUCACUGGACUGCAACGGACACUGAGGCUCGAAAGUGUGGGUAUCAAACAGGAUUAGAUACCCAAGUAGUC
rnacentral:rRNA from 1 species